GGUCUCAUGGUGUAAUGGUUGGCACUCUGGACUCUGAAUCCAGUGAUCCGAGUUCAAAUCUCGGUGAGACCU
rnacentral:tRNA from 1 species